rnacentral:rRNA from 1 species
AAAUCGGGGCAGGGUGAGUCGACCCCUAAGGCGAGGCCGAAAGGCGUAGUCGAUGGGAAACAGGUUAAUAUUCCUGUACUUGGUGUUACUGCGAAGGGGGGACGGAGAAGGCUAUGUUGGCCGGGCGACGGUUGUCCCGGUUUAAGCGUGUGGCUGGUUUUCCAGGCAAAUCCGGAAAAUCAAGGCUGAGGCGUGAUGACGAGGCACUACGGUGCUGAAGCAACAAUGCCCUGCUUCCAGGAAAAGCCUCUAAGCAUCAGGUAACAUCAAAUCGUACCCCAAACCGACACAGGUGGUCAGGUAGAGAAUACCAAGGCGCUUGAGAGAACUCGGGUGAAGGAACUAGGCAAAAUGGUGCCGUAACUUCGGGAGAAGGCACGCUGAUAUGUAGGUGAAGCGACUUGCUCGUGGAGCUGAAAUCAGUCGAAGAUACCAGCUGGCUGCAACUGUUUAUUAAAAACACAGCACUGUGCAAACACGAAAGUGGACGUAUACGGUGUGACGCCUCCCCGGUGCCGGAAGGUUAAUUGAUGGGGUCAGCGCAAGCGAAGCUCUUGAUCGAAGCCCCGGUAAACGGCGGCCGUAACAAUAACGGUCCUAAGGUAGCGAAAUUCCUUGUCGGGUAAGUUCCGACCUGCACGAAUGGCGUAAUGAUGGCCAGGCUGUCUCCACCCGAGACUCAGUGAAAUUGAACUCGCUGUGAAGAUGCAGUGUACCCGCGGCAAGACGGAAAGACCCCGUGAACCUUUACUAUAGCUUGACACUGAACAUUGAGCCUUGAUGUGUAGGAUAGGUGGGAGGCUUUGAAGUGUGGACGCCAGUCUGCAUGGAGCCGACCUUGAAAUACCACCCUUUAAUGUUUGAUGUUCUAACGUGGACCCGUGAUCCGGGUUGCGGACAGUGUCUGGUGGGUAGUUUGACUGGGGCGGUCUCCUCCUAAAGAGUAACGGAGGAGCACGAAGGUUGGCUAAUCCUGGUCGGACAUCAGGAGGUUAGUGCAAUGGCAUAAGCCAGCUUGACUGCGAGCGUGACGGCGCGAGCAGGUGCGAAAGCAGGUCAUAGUGAUCCGGUGGUUCUGAAUGGAAGGGCCAUCGCUCAACGGAUAAAAGGUACUCCGGGGAUAACAGGCUGAUACCGCCCAAGAGUUCAUAUCGACGGCGGUGUUUGGCACCUCGAUGUCGGCUCAUCACAUCCUGGAGCUGAAGUAGGUCCCAAGGGUAUGGCUGUUCGCCAUUUAAAGUGGUACGCGAGCUGGGUUUAGAACGUCGUGAGACAGUUCGGUCCCUAUCUGCCGUGGGCGCUGGAGAACUGAGGGGGGCUGCUCCUAGUACGAGAGGACCGGAGUGGACGCAUCACUGGUGUUCGGGUUGUCAUGCCAAUGGCACUGCCCGGUAGCUAAAUGCGGAAGAGAUAAGUGCUGAAAGCAUCUAAGCACGAAACUUGCCCCGAGAUGAGUUCUCCCUGACUCCUUGAGAGUCCUGAAGGAACGUUGAAGACGACGACGUUGAUAGGCCGGGUGUGUAAGCGCAGCGAUGCGUUGAGCUAACCGGUACUAAUGAACCGUGAGGCUUAACCUU